rnacentral:rRNA from 1 species
GAUGAACGCUGGCGGCGUGCCUAAUACAUGCAAGUCGAACGAACAGACGAUGAGCUUGCUCCUCUGACGUUAGCGGCGGACGGGUGAGUAACGCGUGGAUAACCUACCUAUAUGUCGGGGAUAACUACGGGAAACCGGAUCUAAUACCGCAUAAUAUAUUGUACCGCAUGGUGCAAUAGUUAAAUACGGCUUUGCUGUAUCAAAUAGAGGAUUCUGCGCUGGAUAGUCUAGUUGUUAAGGUAACGGCCUUCCAAGGGGACGAUGCGUAGCCGACCUGAUGGGGUGAUCGGCCACACUGGAACUGAGACGCGGUCCAGACUCCUACGGGAGGCAGCAGUGGGGAAUCUUGGGCAAUGGGCGAAAGCCUGACCGAGCAAGGCCGCGUGAGUGAGGAAGGUCUUCGGGUCGUAAAGCCCUGUUAUUAGGGAAGAACAGAUGUGUAAUUAAACAUGGACGUUUUGACGGUACCUAAUCAGAAAGCACCGGCUAACUACGUG